AGGCUUAACACAUGCAAGUCGAGCGGGUGUAGCAAUACAUCAGCGGCAGACGGGUGAGUAACGCGUGGGAACGUACCUUUUGGUUCGGAACAACACAGGGAAACUUGUGCUAAUACCGGAUAAGCCCUUACGGGGAAAGAUUUAUCGCCGAAAGAUCGGCCCGCGUCUGAUUAGCUAGUUGGUGAGGUAACGGCUCACCAAGGCGACGAUCAGUAGCUGGUCUGAGAGGA
rnacentral:rRNA from 1 species